rnacentral:rRNA from 1 species
UACGGGGGGAGCAAGCGUUGUUCGGAUUUACUGGGCGUAAAGGGCUCGUAGGUGGCCAACUAAGUCAUACGUGAAAUCCCUCGGCUUAACCGGGGAACUGCGUCUGAUACUGGAUGGCUUGAGAUUGGGAGAGGGAUGCGGAAUUCCAGGUGUAGCGGUGAAAUGCGUAGAUAUCUGGAGGAACACCGGUGGCGAAGGCGGCAUCCUGGACCAACACUGACACUGAGGAGCGAAAGCCAGGGGAGCAAACGGG